AGAGGAGCCAAGCGUUGUCCGGAUUGACUGGGCGUAAAGCGCACGCAGGCGGAUGCGCGCGUGGGGUGUGAAAUCUGGCCGCUUAACGGCCAGGCGCCAUCCCAUACGGCGCGUCUGGAGUGAUGCAGAGGUCGAUGGAAUUGCCGGUGUAGUGGUGAAAUGCGUAGAGAUCGGCAGGAACACCCAGGGGGAAACCAGUCGACUGGGCAUCUACUGACGCUGAGGUGCGAGAGCGUGGGGAGCGAACCGGAUUAGAUACCCGGGUAGUCCACGCCGUAAACGAUGGCCACUCGGCCUUUGGUGGCGGAAUCUCCGUCGCUGGGGGCCUUAGCUAACGCGGGAAGUGGCCCGCCUGGGAACUACGAGCGCAAGCUUA
rnacentral:rRNA from 1 species